GAUGAACGCUGGCGGCGUGCCUAAUACAUGCAAGUCGAGCGAACGGACGAGAAGCUUGCUUCUCUGAUGUUAGCGGCGGACGGGUGAGUAACACGUGUAUAACCUACCUAUAAGACUGGGAUAACUUCGGGAAACCGGAGCUAAUACCGGAUAAUAUUUUGCACCGCAUGGUUCAAAAGUGAAAGACGGUCUUGCUGUCACUUAUAGAUGGAUCCGCGCUGCAUUAGCUAGUUGGUAAGGUAACGGCUUACCAAGGCAACGAUGCAUAGCCGACCUGAGAGGGUGAUAGGCCACACUGGAACUGAGACACGGUCCAGGCUCCUACGAGACGCAGCAGUAGGGAAUCUGCCGCAGUGGGCGAAAGCCUGACGGAGCAACGCCGCGUGAGUGAUGAAGGUCUUCGGAUCGUAAAACUCUGUUAUUAGGGAAGAACAUAUGUGUAAGUAACUGAGCACAUAUUGACGGUACCUAAUCAGAAAGCCACGGCUAACUACGUG
rnacentral:rRNA from 1 species